rnacentral:rRNA from 1 species
AGCAGUAGCCGCGGUAAUACUGAGGGUGCAAGCGUUAUCCGGAUUUAUUGGGUUUAAAGGGUCCGUAGGCGGAUCUGUAAGUCAGUGGUGAAAUCUCACAGCUUAACUGUGAAACUGCCAUUGAUACUGCAGGUCUUGAGUAAAUUUGAAGUGGCUGGAAUAAGUAGUGUAGCGGUGAAAUGCAUAGAUAUUACUUAGAACACCAAUUGCGAAGGCAGGUCACUAAGAUUUAACUGACGCUGAUGGACGAAAGCGUGGGGAGCGAACAGGAUUAGAUACCCCGAGUAGUCCCUGUCUCUUAUA